rnacentral:rRNA from 1 species
GACGAACGCUGGCGGCGUGCUUAACACAUGCAAGUCGAACGGACCUGCCCUGCUUUUGUGGGGUGCUCGGGUGGAGAACGGGGGAGUAACACUUGUGUAACCUACACUUGCGUUUGGGAGAACUUCAUAAAACUGGGGCUAAUACCGGAUAGGAGCUACUGCUGCAUGGUGGGGGUGGGAAGGUUUAGGCGGUUGGGGAGGGACUCGCGGCUUAUCAGCUUGAUGGGGGGGUAGUGUCUUACCAUGACUUGGAAGGGUAGCCGGGCUGAGAGGGGGACCGGCCACAUUGGGAUUGAGAUGCGGCACAGACUACUACGGGAGGCAGCAGUGGGGAAGAUUGCACAAGGGGAGGAAGCCUGAUGUAGCAAAGCCGCGUGGGGGAUGAGGGCCAGCGGGUAGGGUUGCGAAGCCGCCUGUGACGAAGCGUGAGUGACGGUAAUGGGUAAAGAAGCACCGGCUAACUACGUG